UUCUCCAGGAACUGGGAAGCCGGUGGCGGCGGGGGGUUUUAGUUGGAGCUCGGGAGCCGCCCGCGGCUGCAGGAGAAAGUUUGCAACCAGCCGGGGCGGCGUGGCUGUCUCCCCAGCUCCCGGGGCUCGCUACUUCGUUCGCUCUCCAGCCUGCUGGGCUGCCGCGGGCUGCGGUCUUCGCGCAGCCUCCCCCUCUCCCUCCCUCGCUUGCUCGCUCUACGUAGCGCCCACGUAGGGUGUCAAGCGAAGUUUAAAAAGCUAGCCCGCAGGAGAGCGGCGCGGCGCAGCCGGGGGAUCUCCAUCGCCAGCGGGAGCGAAGCGGAGAGGAGAAGGCAGGGCGACUCUCCCCGGCUGGAGAUGAACCGCGGCUGAGGCUCAACUCCCGGCUCGCGGAGCUGCAGCAGGGGCGCGGGAUCGAUGGCAGCCUUUGGUCUGCGAGCCCGGCUCUAAGCGUCCCCGUGAGGCUGCGGACAUCCCCGGCUCCUUGGAGCAGCUCGGUUGCCUGCACCCCGAAGGGCUCCGCGCCCCCCGAGCUCUCUCUCCCUCCUUGCCGGGCGUCAGCACGGGCUCCGGCCGCCCUAGCCAUGGAGUACCUGCGAGUGUGGCUCGGCGUUUCGUUCGCCUUGGCGGAAUUCACUCCCUUGCCUUCCGUGCGCACUGGAGGUGCUUGUGUCUUCCAGGGCUCAUUGUUUUUGGUAGGUCAUUUUUAAUAUACUUGGUCUGUUUAUUUUGUGAGUAAAAUAAUUUCUGAAGGCUAGUCGGUGAAACAGUUGACCUUCUUAAUAUGCAUAUUUUCAUCUGCUGUUUGAAUAUUAUCUGCUAUCCCGACACAUUCAUACUCAUUUCCCUAGGGAAUACAAUCCACUGGAAAUGAAAUUCACUGCCCUUUUUUUCUUUGCAUUCUAAAGUGGCCAUGUUGCAUUCUUUCAGUCACAUAGAGGAAAUAAAAUCCUCAUAUUGAUGUCAGAUUCAAAUUAGGGUACAAUUUGUUCACCCUCCAGUUGGAUUGGUAUUUCCCCAUCCAUUCUCAUUCUAGUACCUUCCCAGUCUCUUUUAAUUCUAGUGCCUUUUGUUUAUUAUCUCCUACUUGUCCCUAUUUGUUUGGAUAUAUUUGUUUGCUUAUUUACCCAUUAGAUUGUGAGUUCCUCAAAAGUAGGGACUGUUUCUGUUCCCCCCCUUUUUGUACCCUUAGCAUUUUGCAUAAUGACUAGUAUAUGGGAGAUGCUUAAUGGUGGUUGUUAUUGAUUUGUUCUGAAAGAAUACCAAAAUGACAUUAAUGUGUUACAUUCAAGAUAUGAUGUCCCACUGUGGCUGAUCAGACCAAUAUGAGUUGGAAUGCUCUGCCACAGAUUGGACAUAGUCUCAUGAGCACCAGGGCAGAUUCUCUAACUUUAUGCAUCUCGUGUUUCUUCUGAACCAAUUCAAUUCUGCUUUGCUCAUAGAGCACAGCACCUUCUCUGAUGAGAGCAUGCCAUACUGAGCGAUCUUGUGUCAGUGGUAGUUAGAGCACUGGCCCUGAAAUAAGGAGAGCCUGAGUUCAAAUCCAGCUUCUG
ensembl:lncRNA